rnacentral:lncRNA from 1 species
UACCAAUGCAAAAUAAAUGUAAAAGUCCGAGUCAGCCUUUUUCCCGCCAUAUUUUAAUUCUCAAAUAUCUCGAAAAGGAGGUCCAUGACCUAUCAAUAUUGUUAGCUUAUUUUUAUCCUUAAUUGAUGCUCUACCAGCUUAUAGUAUCAAUUUUAACUUCUUAAUUUAUUAAUUUUCACCUUACCUCACCUAAGUACAUCCUUAA